UACGUAGGCAGCAAGCGUUGUUCGGAGUUACUGGGCGUAAAGGGUGUGUAGGCGGUUCCUUAAGUUUGCUGUGAAAUCUCCCGGCUUAACCGGGAGGGUGCGGUGAAUACUGAGGGACUAGAGUACGGGAGAGGAAAGUGGAAUUCCUGGUGUAGCGGUGAAAUGCGCAGAUAUCAGGAGGAACACCCAUUGCGAAGGCAGCUCGCUGGGACGUUACUGACGCUGAGACGCGAAAGCGUGGGGAGCGAACAGG
rnacentral:rRNA from 1 species